rnacentral:rRNA from 1 species
GACGAACGCUGGCGGCGUGCUUAACACAUGCAAGUCGAGCGAGCGGCGGACGGGUGAGUAAUGUCUGGGAAACUGCCAGAUGGCGGGGGAAAACUACUGGAAACGGUAGCUAAUACCACAUACCAUCAGAUGAGACCAGAUGGGAUUAGCUAGUAGGUGGGGUAAUGGCUAACCUAGGCGACGAUCCCUAGCUGGUCUGAGAGGAUGACCAGCCACACUGGAACUGAGACACGGUCCAGACUCCUACGGGAGGCAGCAGUGGGGAAUAUUGCACAAUGGGCGCAAGCCUGAUGCAGCCAUGCCGCGUGUGUGAAGAAGGCCUUCGGGUUGUAAAGCACUUUCAGCGAGGAGGCGUUACUCGCAGAAGAAGCACCGGCUAACUCCGUGCCAGCAGCCGCGGUAAUUC